rnacentral:rRNA from 1 species
GACGAACGCUGGCGGCGUGCUUAACACAUGCAAGUCGAACGGAAAGGCCCUGCUUGCAGGGUACUCGAGUGGCGAACGGGUGAGUAACACGUGGGUGAUCUGCCCUGCACUUCGGGAUAAGCCUGGGAAACUGGGUCUAAUACCGGAUAGGAGCCAUUCUUAGUGUGAUGGUUGGAAAGUUUUUUCGGUGUAGGAUGAGCUCGCGGCCUAUCAGUUUGUUGGUGGGGUAAUGGCCUACCAAGGCGGCGACGGGUAGCCGGCCUGAGAGGGUGGACGGCCACAUUGGGACUGAGAUACGGCCCAGACACCUACGGGAGGCAGCAGUGGGGAAUAUUGCACAAUGGGCGCAAGCCUGAUGCAGCGACGCCGCGUGGGGGAUGACGGCCUUCGGGUUGUAAACUCCUUUCGCUAGGGACGAAGCUUUUUGUGACGGUACCUAGAUAAGAAGCACCGGCUAACUACGUG